rnacentral:rRNA from 1 species
GAUGAACGCUGGCGGCGUGCCUAAUACAUGCAAGUCGAGCGAACAGAUGAGGAGCUUGCUCCUCUGACGUUAGCGGCGGACGGGUGAGUAACACGUGGAUAACCUACCUAUAAGACUGGGAUAACUUCGGGAAACCGGAGCUAAUACCGGAUAAUAUAUUGAACCGCAUAGUUCAAUAGUGAAAGACGGUUUUGCUGUCACUUAUAGAUGGAUCCGCGCCGCAUUAGCUAGUUGGUAAGGUAACGGCUUACCAAGGCGACGAUGCGUAGCCGACCUGAGAGGGUGAUCGGCCACACUGGAACUGAGACACGGUCCAGACUCCUACGGGAGGCAGCAGUAGGGAAUCUUCCGCAAUGGGCGAAAGCCUGACGGAGCAACGCCGCGUGAGUGAUGAAGGUCUUCGGAUCGUAAAACUCUGUUAUUAGGGAAGAACAAAUGUGUAAGUAACUAUGCACGUCUUGACGGUACCUAAUCAGAAAGCCACGGCUAACUACGUG